AUUGAACGCUGGCGGCAGGCUUAACACAUGCAAGUCGAGCGGAGCGAGGGUGCUUGCACCUUAGCUUAGCGGCGGACGGGUGAGUAAUGCUUAGGAAUCUGCCUAUUAGUGGGGGACAACAUUCCGAAAGGGAUGCUAAUACCGCAUACGCCCUACGGGGGAAAGCAGGGGAUCUUCGGACCUUGCGCUAAUAGAUGAGCCUAAGUCGGAUUAGCUAGUUGGUGGGGUAAAGGCCUACCAAGGCGACGAUCUGUAGCGGGUCUGAGAGGAUGAUCCGCCACACUGGGACUGAGACACGGCCCAGACUCCUACGGGAGGCAGCAGUGGGGAAUAUUGGACAAUGGGGGGAACCCUGAUCCAGCCAUGCCGCGUGUGUGAAGAAGGCCUUUUGGUUGUAAAGCACUUUAAGCGAGGAGGAGGCGCUCUAGGAUAAUACCCUAGAUGCGUGGACGUUACCCGCAGAAUAAGCACCGGCUAACUCUGUGCCAGCCGCCGCAGUAAAAC
rnacentral:rRNA from 1 species